rnacentral:rRNA from 1 species
CCUACGGGAGGCAGCAGUGAGGAAUAUUGGUCAAUGGGCGGGAGCCUGAACCAGCCAAGUUGCGUGAGGGAAGACGGUCCUACGGAUUGUAAACCUCUUUUGCCGGGGAGCAACGGGGUCCUUGCGAGGUCCCAAUGAGAGUACCCGGAGAAAAAGCAUCGGCUAACUCCGUGCCAGCAGCCGCGGUAAUACGUAGGUGGCAAGCGUUAUCCGGAUUUAUUGGGCGUAAAGGGAACGCAGGCGGUCUUUUAAGUCUGAUGUGAAAGCCUUCGGCUUAACCGGAGUAGUGCAUUGGAAACUGGGAG